UAGACGUUUUAAGUCUGACAGGCCAAACUAAAUAGUGAAUUCGGCCCAACCCAAUUCUAAUUCGGGUCAGGCCCAAUACCCACGAAAUUAAUCUAAAUUCUAUGUCUUCCUUCAUAGUUUAGACUAAGAAAAUAUCCAGAAAAAUUUCUAGAGAGAGAGAGAGGGGAAGUUCUUGAGAGAAAACCAAAUCCGACCAAAAUUCGAGUCCCAAAAUCCGAAGCUCAUGAAGAGAAAAUUGUUGUACGUCGCGUUGGCUUCAAUUUGAGCUAGAAAUCAGCCAAUAAGGAGAAGAUUUUAUGUGGUGCUGCAAAUUUAAGGUUGAGACAAUAUUGGACAACAUAUACGUAUAAACGCUAAAGGUACAGAUACUCAUUUUGGAGAGCCGUCAGCUUAGGAUUCUACUCAACGAGUUUGAAGUGCUCCAUUGUCUCGGAGCCCAAACUUUGGGUACUAAUCCUUAUAAUGUAUAUAUUUGUGUAUUUAGGGGUACGACGGGGCCCUGUCCCGUCAUAUGCUAUUGUUAAUCCUCUUAGAGGUCUGUAGACAUAUGAGUGGGUUGUAUAUAGAUGUUGUCCGGUGUACUAGUAUGACUUAUGUUUUUGGACGUUUACAUUCAGAAUGGAAGCCUUGUCGGCUUACAUAUUAUGUUAUCUUAUUUUUGACAAUUAAGACUCCCCAAGAAAUAGGUGA